rnacentral:rRNA from 1 species
UACGUAGGGGGCAAGCGUUGUCCGGAUUUAUUGGGCGUAAAGAGCGUGUAGGCGGCCAGGCAGGUCCGCUGUGAAAACUCGAGGCUCAACCUCGAGAGGUCGGUGGAAACCGUCUGGCUAGAGUCCGGAAGAGGAGAGUGGAAUUCCCGGUGUAGCGGUGAAAUGCGCAGAUAUCGGGAAGAACACCCGUGGCGAAGGCGGCUCUCUGGAACGGUACUGACGCUGAGACGCGAAAGCGUGGGGAGCGAACAGG